GACGAACGCUGGCGGCGGGCUUAACACAUGCAAGUCGUACGCGAACGGGUCCUUCGGGACCCUAGUAGAGUGGCGCACGGGUGCGUAACACGUGGGCAACCUACCCUUGAGUGCGGAAUA
rnacentral:rRNA from 1 species